GGACUCAUAGCUCAGUUGGUUAGAGCGCUACGUUGACAUCGUAGAGGUCGCUGGUUCGAAUCCAGUUGAGUCCACCA
rnacentral:tRNA from 1 species